CGCACGGGUGAGUAACACGUAUCCAACCUGCCGAUAACUCCGGAAUAGCCUUUCGAAAGAAAGAUUAAUACCGGAUGGCAUACGAAUAUCGCAUGAUAUUUUUAUUAAAGAAUUUCGGUUAUCGAUGGGGAUGCGUUCCAUUAGUUUGUUGGCGGGGUAACGGCCCACCAAGACUACGAUGGAUAGGGGUUCUGGGAGGAAGGUCCCCCACAUUGGAACUGAGACACGGUCCAAACUCCUACGGGAGGCAGCAGUGAGGAAUAUUGGUCAAUGGGCGAGAGCCUGAACCAGCCAAGUAGCGUGAAGGAUGAAGGCUCUAUGGGUCGUAAACUUCUUUUAUAUGGGAAUAAAGUUUUCCACGUGUGGAAUUUUGUAUGUACCAUAUGAAUAAGGAUCGGCUAACUCCGUGCCAGCAGCCGCGGUAAUACGGAGGAUCCGAGCGUUAUCCGGAUUUAUUGGGUUUAAAGGGAGCGUAGGUGGAUUGUUAAGUCAGUUGUGAAAGUUUGCGGCUCAACCGUAAAAUUGCAGUUGAAACUGGCAGUCUUGAGUACAGUAGAGGUGGGCGGAACUCGUGGUGUAGCGGUGAAAUGCUUAGAUAUCACGAAGAACUCCGAUUGCGAAGGC
rnacentral:rRNA from 1 species